rnacentral:rRNA from 1 species
UGCCUUACACAUGCAAGUCGAACGGCAGCAUGAUCUAGCUUGCUAGAUUGAUGGCGAGUGGCGAACGGGUGAGUAAUACAUCGGAACGUGCCCUGUAGUGGGGGAUAACUAGUCGAAAGAUUAGCUAAUACCGCAUACGACCUGAGGGUGAAAGUGGGGGACCGCAAGGCCUCAUGCUAUAGGAGCGGCCGAUGUCUGAUUAGCUAGUUGGUGAGGUAAAGGCUCACCAAGGCGACGAUCAGUAGCUGGUCUGAGAGGACGAUCAGCCACACUGGGACUGAGACACGGCCCAGACUCCUACGGGAGGCAGCAGUGGGGAAUUUUGGACAAUGGGGGCAACCCUGAUCCAGCAAUGCCGCGUGUGUGAAGAAGGCCUUCGGGUUGUAAAGCACUUUUGUCCGGAAAGAAAUCGCACUUACUAAUAUUAGGUGUGGAUGACGGUACCGGAAGAAUAAGGACCGGCUAACUACGUGCCAGCAGCCGCGGUAAUACGUAGGGUCCAAGCGUUAAUCGGAAUUACUGGGCGUAAAGCGUGCGCAGGCGGUUGUGCAAGACCGAUGUGAAAUCCCCGGGCUUAACCUGGGAAUUGCAUUGGUGACUGCACGGCUAGAGUGUGUC